rnacentral:rRNA from 1 species
CCCUUCGGGAGCUUGCACAGGUGCUGCAUGGCUGUCGUCAGCUCGUGUCGUGAGAUGUCGGUUAAGUCCGCUAACGAGCGCAACCCUCGCUGUGUGUUAUAUGUGUCACACGGGACUGCCGGUCUUAAGCCGGAGGAAGGUGGGGAUGAUGUCAAGUCAGCAUGGCCUUUAUAUCCUGGGCUACACACACGCUACAAUGGCCAACACAAUAGGUUGCUAAGCCGCGAGGUGGCGCCAAUCCAUAAAGUUGGUCUCAGUUCAGAUUGUAGGCUGCAACCCGCCUGCAUGAAGAUGGAGUUGCUAGUAACCGCAGGUCAGCUAUACUGCGGUGAAUACGUUCCCGGGCUU